rnacentral:lncRNA from 1 species
AUGAUGGGGCGCUCGGGUAGAAAGAGAAGCAGCUCGGUUUGGGACUGCUUCAAACAGGUCGGAAACUAUGUACAAUGUACACGAUGUAAUGCAACAUUGAAGUAUUGUGGCGGGGCUACAAGCACCAUGAUCAAUCACAUGAAGAAGCACACACCAUUCACAAAACCGAUAAACAACGAGGAGGAGGUUGAGGAAAAGCCGAUCAUCUGUAUGGUUGAAACAGUUGAUGAAGAAGGCAAUUCCGGGCAGAUAUCACAAGCGUUUUUACAGUCUCCCAACACCUCAUCUGACUGCACCGAAAUUAUCGACAGAAAGCGUUUAAAGCGAAGUUCUGUCUGGGAUGUGUUCAUUAAAGUAGGGGACGAGGUCCACUGCACAAUGUGUGACUCCAAACUUAAAUACAGAAGUAGCACCACCAGCAUGAUUUACCAUAUUAGAAACAAGCACUCAGAAGCGCUUCCUACUCAUGCUCAGGUGAAUGAGCUCAUAUGUAAAAUGAUUGAGAAGGACAUGCUUCCUAUCAGCGUGGUGAGUGGUGAAGGCUUUUGUGAUCUGCUUGCAUUUACAGUGCAGAAUUUCAAAAUGCCAUCACCCAUUGACAUCACGCGGCUCAUUGAGGGACAUUUUCAUGAGAGAGUAGAGGAACUCCAAUUACAGUUGACUAAAGUGGACAAAGUGGCCCUAACUGCAGAUUUUUGGACAGGUCUUCCAUCUCAGAAAUAUGUGACAGUUUCAUGUUCUUUCAUAACUGAUGACUGGCAGGGCAAGUGGGCUGUACUGCAAACUGACAAGCUUCCAUCGAACAGCAGCAUCACUACCGAAUGUGUCUCAGAAAGGCUUCUUAAAACUGUAGAGACAUGGGGCCUUGCUCAAAAGGUCACAGCUUGUGUUCAGAAUACAGUGCAUAUCUUUCCAACUGGUGACUGUGCUAAAAUAACAUGGGACUAUGCCACCUGCUUCUCCAAAACACUGCAAUUGGCAGUAAAUGAUGGACUUUCUGAAGAUCUCCUCCAUAUUAUAACAGCGGCAGGGAAACUAGUUAGACACUUUAAUAUUAACCACAUGGCAAAUCAAGCUUUGCAGCAAAACAGCUUCAGAUGUGCUUGCCACAAGUCAAGCUAA